GACAGAGGGUGCAAACGUUGUUCGGAAUUACUGGGCGUAAAGCGUGUGUAGGCUGCUACAUAAGUCGGAUGUGAAAGCCCCGGGCUCAACCCGGGAAGUGCACUCGAUACUGCGUAGCUUGAGUCUCGGAGAGGUUGGUGGAAUUCUCGGUGUAGAGGUGAAAUGCGCAGAUAUCGGGAAGAACACCCGUGGCGAAGGCGGCUCUCUGGGACGGUACUGACGCUGAGACGCGAAAGCGUGGGGAGCGAACAGG
rnacentral:rRNA from 1 species